UCCCCAGUGAACGAGGCCCU
rnacentral:misc_RNA from 1 species